UUCUGCAGCAUGUACUUAAGCAUUAAGA
rnacentral:piRNA from 1 species